UUUGGUCCUGGAAUAUUCGUACUGUCAGGGAAUAUUCGUACGACGGCGUAGCCAUGUGUGGGCCCCAUAACGGAAAACGAUUGGAGGAAGAAAACGACAAGAAUAAGUUGUUUAAAAAUAACGGCGUAGUUGUUACCGUUAAUACUGUUAAAAUACUCGGUGGUUAAAACACAGUAGCACACGGUAUUGCACCAAUUAUUGAUUCUUACGUAAGAAUGCACUAC
rnacentral:lncRNA from 1 species